rnacentral:rRNA from 1 species
GAUGAGCGCUGGCGGCGUGCCUAAUACAUGCAAGUCGAGCGAACGGACGAGAAACUUGCUUUUCUGAUGUUAGCGGCGGACGGGUGAGUAACACGUGGAUAACCUACCUAUAAGACUGGGAUAACUUCGGGAAACCGGAGCUAAUACCGGAUAAUAUUUUGAACCGCAUGGUUCAAAAGUGAAAGACGGUCUUGCUGUCACUUAUAGAUGGAUCCGCGCUGCAUUAGCUAGUUGGUAAGGUAACGGCUUACCAAGGCAACGAUGCAUAGCCGACCUGAGAGGGUGAUCGGCCACACUGGAACUGAGACACGGUCCAGACUCCUACGGGAGGCAGCAGUAGGGAAUCUUCCGCAAUGGGCGAAAGCCUGACGGAGCAACGCCGCGUGAGUGAUGAAGGUCUUCGGAUCGUAAAACUCUGUUAUUAGGGAAGAACAUAUGUGUAAGUAACUGUGCACAUCUUGACGGUACCUAAUCAGAAAGCCACGGCUAACUACGUG